GUGGGGAAUAUUGGACAAUGGGCGAAAGCCUGAUCCAGCCAUGCCGCGUGUGUGAAGAAGGUCUUCGGAUUGUAAAGCACUUUAAGUUGGGAGGAAGGGCAGUAAGUUAAUACCUUGCUGUUUUGACGUUACCAACAGAAUAAGCACCGGCUAACUUCGUGCCAGCAGCCGCGGUAAUACGAAGGGUGCAAGCGUUAAUCGGAAUUACUGGGCGUAAAGCGCGCGUAGGUGGUUUUGUAAGUUGGAGGUGAAAUCCCCGGGCUCAACCUGGGAACUGCCUCCAAAACUGCAUGACUAGAGUACGGUAGAGGGUAGUGGAAUUUCCUGUGUAGCGGUGAAAUGCGUAGAUAUAGGAAGGUACACCAGUGGCGAAGGCGACUACCUGGACUGAUACUGACACUGAGGUGCGAAAGCGUGGGGAGCAAACAGGAUUAGAAACCCCGGUAGUCC
rnacentral:rRNA from 1 species